rnacentral:pre_miRNA from 1 species
ACCGCGUACUUGCCUACUAUAGGACUGUAGUAGACGAAAUACAUGUAUCUCCGCUACUAUAUAGAAGGCAAGUACGCGGUUU